UUCAGCUUUUGCACAUAAUUUUUCCCAGAUUUCCAAAUGCAGAUGUUUUGGUUCAGAAGGACUCUCCCCUGAGAGGAACAGGAAUCACAGCAAUGCAACAUUGAAGUGACAAUUGCCAGCAAAAGGUUUGUUGAUCUAGAAGAACCUGGGUUAAGAUCCAGAAGGGAUUGGGCCUCAAUGAGAAUCCACUGGAUGCUUCAAAGCAGGAUGUUUGUCCCUCAAAGGUCUGUUACCUUCUCAAAGGGACAUGUUCUCACUCUUUAUUGUCCUUCAUUCAUUAUGUAGUGGAACUGCUGCCAGUUGUGUUUGGUCUCAGUUUAAAGGUUUCUGCUCUUCCUUUCUGUCAAUGAUGUAUGUGAUGCAUAUACACAGAAAAACAUAUGUAAUUAUUUAUAGAAUAUAUAACAAGUGGAUCACUAUUCUGUCCAGUCCUCUUUAAAUGUCCAAUUUUCACAGUCCACUUUAUGUAUUUUUGACAAAGCCAUUCUGUUUAACUCACUCAUCUGUGCACAGCAGUCGUGGUACAAGCGUGAGCUGCUAAACUAGUAUCUUAGCAACCAACAGGUCCUUUCCUGGAACCUACUGGUUACUUUACUGGAAUGAUGAUGCUGUUUACUGGAAUCUAAAGGGUACCGUGAAGGUAAGCUUCACCCUGAUUCUGAUGGUUCAAGGGUUGUUACUUUUUUCAGUACUUACAGGGCACUUUCAGGAACCUACAGUGUACUUCACCAGAACCUAUGGGGUAUUUUACUGGGACUUUUAGGGUACUUUCUGAAGGUUAAGGCAUACAUACAGGUUACUUUGUCCGUAUGUACAGGAUACUAAACUUAAAAUAUACAAAGCAUUACUGAAAGGUACAGAGUAGUUUUUGGAUCCUAUAGGGUCCUUAUAAAUUAUUAUACCACUACUUUGAGGCGACAUCAAACUGUCAGGAUUAUGGAUCAGUGGUUCUCAACCCUGGUCUCCAGGACCCACUGUCCUGCAUGUUUUAGGUGGUUCCCUCCUGCUAGACACCUGACUUAAAUAAAUGGGUGAUAAACAGGACUUGAUGGCAGCUGAGGAGGGGAUGCAUCGUUUGAAUCAAGUGUGUUAGGUCAGAGACACGUCUAAAACACGAAGAACUGUGGGCCCUGAGGACCAGGAUUGAGAACAACUGUUCUGGAUGCAAGUCAAGCAGAAGGAGCAGAGCUAAACAAAGUUUGAUGAGACUAAAACCAGUUGGUGUUGUUUCUCUUGCAGGUAAGAUUACAGUGGAUCCAAACGAGAACAGUGAGUCACCAUCAUUAAGAAGUUUUAGAGAAAAAGUUUUAAAUGCAGUUCUGGUUUAAAACAAAGUACCGUCAGAUUCCAAUGAAUCAUCUUGUCCCAUGAAUGACAUUCCUCCUCAGAUGGAUCGAUGACGGCCGUUAACACCUCCAAAAUGUUGCCAGAGAACGAUCUGAAGCUCAUGUCUAAUCCAGAAAAGACAUCAUUAGUGUUGGACAAACAUAUGUUUCAAAACUCAUCCCCUCAGCUGUGGAAGCGGUUGAUUUUUGUCUCUGGUAUAAAUAUAAAACAGAUUGUUGUGGACAUUUGAGGCUUCUUCUUCAUCCAGUGCUGAUUGCUACCAUCAUCUCCAAGCAAUCCCGGGCCAGAGGUGUCCAACUGAUGGCGUCCAACUGAUGGCGUGUCCUGUUGCUGUAGGGACUGUCAUGCGUUGAAAGGAACAGCCUUUAAUGGGGAGCACAUUGAUGAAGGAAGCACUCACCUGAUCCACCGCAUCAAGACCACGAGGAACUGGAAGCCAGACUGGUCGGAAAGGAAGCAGAUGGAAGGUGCAAACUAACUCCUUUACGGUGUUGAUUGACCUGUUCAAAAGUUCUGAUACUGCCAUUGUUUCUUCAUGUUUCUUCUUCCAAGCAGCCUCACUUUCUUUGAAACUCUACAUGAUUAGUUUUCCAGGUUUUCUUCAGUUCUAAAACUGUAAAAGUCUUCAAGCAUAUUAGUUUAUAGAUUUAGUAUGAUGGAAAAAAUGAUAAAGGUACAAAUUAGUGAGUGACUGGUAACUGAGCUUCAGCCCCUGGGACAAAGUAAGGCUCAGCACCAGAGAAGAUGCAGGAGAGGAGCACUAGCAGGCCCACCACCUGCUGGGAGAGAGCCCAAAGCCUCCUGAUUCCCAACGAUCCAGACUGAGGAACUGGUUGAGUGCUGAAAGAAAAAAUCUUAAGAAUCUCCUUAAUCCGGCCAGCAGAUCCAAUGCUGAGAAGGUCAAGUCUCAAAACAUUUGUUUUACACGUCUCAACGUUAUAUUUUGUGGACUUUGGCAACACUUUGGAAGGGGGGCGACUGCUGUGCCAGAGAGGAUGACCAGCGAGUGGGUUCCACAUUUCAGGGGUCAAACUCAUCAGCUUUCAAGAAAAAGUCUGCUUGAGGACGUUGGAACAGAGGUUCUGAUCGAUUACUCCUGUUGAAGCAUAGUGACUUUGGUCCAAGUCAUGUACCACAGGACCAAAUCUUUACCCUGGCAGAAUUGUGAAGGGGUCUUAGGAGUCAUUGGUAGUGUUCCACCGCUGAUAACCUGCAGAUGUCUCCUCUGCCUCAAGAACCAAUACAGCAUCUAAGAGCGCUGGUUGGGUACGUGUCAGAGCUAGAAAAGGUUCCUCUAGAUCGACCUGAAGACUUGGACAGUGAGACACGGACCAAGGACUUCUCUAAGAACGUUAUCGCCAGAGCGCAGUUCUUUGCAACAAAAGGC